rnacentral:rRNA from 1 species
GACGAACGCUGGCGGCGUGCCUAAUACAUGCAAGUCGUGCGGACCUUGUUGAAAGCUUGCUUUUAAAAGGUUAGCGGCGGACGGGUGAGUAACACGUGGGCAACCUGCCUGUAAGACUGGGAUAACGCCGGGAAACCGGGGCUAAUACCAGAUCGUUUUUUCCUCCGCAUGGAGGAAAAAGGAAAGGCGGCUUCGGCUGCCACUUACAGAUGGGCCCGCGGCGCAUUAGCUAGUUGGCGGGGUAAUGGCCCACCAAGGCAACGAUGCGUAGCCGACCUGAGAGGGUGAUCGGCCACAUUGGGACUGAGACACGGCCCAAACUCCUACGGGAGGCAGCAGUAGGGAAUCUUCCGCAAGGGACGAAAGUCUGACGGAGCAACGCCGCGUGAGUGAAGAAGGCCGUCGGGUCGUAAAACUCUGUUGCCGGGGAAGAACAAGUGCCGUUCGAAAAGGGCGGCGCCUUGACGGUACCCGGCCAGAAAGCCACGGCUAACUACGUG